rnacentral:lncRNA from 1 species
CAUAUUUUACCCUUUGUUAUUUUGGAAAUUACAUAUGUUUUCAUAUUAUUUUAAUGGUUACAGAGACUAUAGAUCCUGGUAUGCAACCUUUCAGAUGUAUUUCCUUGCAUAUGUACUAGUAGAUAUCUUGUGCUAAUUUAGAUACUUGUUUCUAAUUUUUUAAUAUUAUAAAGAACAUUGACAUUUAUAUUGUUGUCAAUAUGUGCUUUCAUCCUUUGAUAGAGCACAGAUUUGUAGAAGAAUUAUGAAAUGAAAGACUUUGCACAUUGAAAGCUUCAAUUGACAUUUGGUGGGUAUUAUUUUCUCUCAGUGGCAUAGUUCCUAUAAAAUGAUAAAUGUUUAUAAAUUGCAGAAAAACAUCAUCCCAACUUAUACCACCUCAACCAAAAUGACUUUGACUAAAAACUAGUUCUAAAAUCUUCUGUUGUGUUUUUUACUUCACAAUAUUUUAAGAAUUUUUCUUUUAACUUUUUUUUGAACUUAGGUUAUUUAGAAUUGUGUGGAGAUUUUCCAGAUAUCUUUUUGUUACUAAUUUCUGUUAUGGUAAGAAAAUAUGCUUUUUAUGAUUUCAGUUCUUACAAAUAUACUAAGGCCUGUUUGAUGAAUCAGAAUGAGGUCUAUUUUGGUAAAUGUGCUAUGUGCACUUGAAAAAUUCUAUAUUUUGCUAUUGUUGUGUGGAGUUGUCUAUGAAUAUCAAUUAAGUCAGGUUGGUUGUUGUUAAAGAAAGUCAACAGGACAAUAGUUAAAAGUGGUAAGAACAAAUUUUAUUAAAGAACUAUUGCAAUAGGAAAAAAGAAACUUAAGUAUGGUAUCAGGCUCCAUUAAAAAGAGAAUAAGAACAAGUGGGAAUUUAUGAUUAAGGAGUAAGUGGAUAGAAAUAUUAUCAAGAGAAGAGGGGAAUUCUAGUUAAAUAAACUAGACAGGAUUCUUGCUGAAGGCAUCCUAGGUGAUCAGAUAUCCAGGAUGAGAGAUUCUCUCUAAACUGACUUAGGAUUCUUCUUAAAACUGGACAGUACAGAUACAAACAUCAAACCCAGGGUUAAGAGUUGGUUGAGUGGAGGAUUCAGAGUAGCCAAUUAAAAUUUGGUCUUUGUCAUUGAUAGCAUUAAGACUUCUAUAGCUUGACUGCUUUUCUGAGUAUUUACUCCCCUGCUUAUUGAGAGCGCAGUGGUAAA